UUGCAUACUUUCAAUCAUCUCCCAGUUCCUGUAUUUACUAUAUUUUAUGCAUGGGUUGUUCAUUCUCUGUUUCCCUUUGCUUUCUACGUCCUCUCUGUGGUGGAUUUUAUUUUGCCCCUGUUUGAUGGCCAUUAUUUUGAAAAAAACAAUGUUUUAAAUAGUGAUUUUUAGGAAAAUGUGCGGUUAAAAAGUCGGAAAAAGUUUCGGGUUUACGAGUAGAAUAUUUUAUUGUGUGAAUAUGUGAUUGAAAAUAAGUCUGUAGAAAAACGGAGUUUAAAAUAAAUCAAAUUUAGUUUUAAGAAGUUUUUGUUUCCUCACUUUUUAAGAAAAAAGUUAUGUUGGAAGUAACUCAUACUUUUCAUAUAAGUAACUCUUUUCUAACUUAAAGCAAUUAAAAAUAUUUAUUUAAAACUUAUUUACUCUUACCUAUAACCUCUUUUGCUAUGGAAUGCAGAAUCUCAUCUCCCGGCAUGCAGAUUCCUCGAAGUCGUCCCUCGUUGAUUUGUUGCAUGGCUUACUGAAG
rnacentral:lncRNA from 1 species